rnacentral:rRNA from 1 species
GAUGAACGCUGGCGGCGUGCUUAACACAUGCAAGUCGAACGAAAAGACGCGGAUUUUGCUUGUCUCACGUUAGCCGCGCGCGUGUGAGAAACGCGUGUAUAACGCACUUAUAAGUCUGGGAUCACUAGGGGACACCGGAGCUAAUACCAUAUGAUAUAUUGAACCGCAGGGUUGAAUGGAAAAUUUCGGUUUUCGGGUCUGUAAUAGCUGGUUCGGGGCUGGAUUAGCUUGUUGGUAAGGUAACGGCUUACCAAGGCUACGAUGCGUAGCCGAACUGAGAGGAGGAUAGGCCACCCUGGAACUGAGACACGGACCAGACUCCUGCGGGAGGCAGCAGUGGGGAAUGUUCGGCAAUGGGCGAAAGCCUGACCGAGCAAGGCCGCGUGAGAGAUGAAGGUCUUCGGAUCGUAAACCUCUGUUAUUAGGGAAGAACAGAUUUGGACUUAAAUGUGGAGGUCGUGACGGUACCGGAUCAAAAAGCACCGGCUAACUACGUG